AUUGAACGCUGGCGGCAGGCCUAACACAUGCAAGUCGAGCGACCGGCGGACGGGUGAGUAAUGUAUGGGGACUGCCCGAUAGCGGGGGAUAACUACUGGAAACGGUGGCUACUACCGCAUACUAUCGGAUUACCUCUAUGGGAUUAGCUAGUAGGUGGGGUAAUGUCUCACCUAGGCGACGAUCCCUAGCUGGUCUGAGGGGAUGAUCAGCAACACUGAGAUUGGGACACGGCCCAGACUCCUAGGGGAGGAAGAAGUGGGGAUAUUGGACAAUGGGCGCAAGCCUGAUGCAGCCAUGCCGCGUGUAUGAAGAAGGCCCUAGGGUUGUAAAGUACUUUCAGUCGGGAGGCGUUACCGACAGAAGAAGCACCGGCUAACUCCGUGCCAGCAGCCGCGGUAAUUC
rnacentral:rRNA from 1 species